AGCGAACGCUGGCGGCGUGCUUAACACAUGCAAGUCGAGCGGUAAGGCCCUUUCGGGGGUACACGAGCGGCGAACGGGUGAGUAACACGUGGGUGACCUGCCCUCAGCUCUGGGAUAAGCCUGGGAAACCGGGUCUAAUACCGGAUAUGACUCCAUGACGCAUGUUGUGGGGUGGAAAGCCUUGUGCGGCUGAGGAUGGGCCCGCGGCCUAUCAGCUUGUUGGUGGGGUGAUGGCCUACCAAGGCGACGACGGGUAGCCGGCCUGAGAGGGCGACCGGCCACACUGGGACUGAGACACGGCCCAGACUCCUACGGGAGGCAGCAGUGGGGAAUCUUGCGCAAUGGGCGAAAGCCUGACGCAGCGACGCCGCGUGAGGGAUGACGGCCU
rnacentral:rRNA from 1 species